AGCGUUGCUCGGAAUUACUGGGCGUAAAGCGCACGUAGGCGGUCUUUUAAGUCGGUGGUGAAAUCCUGGAGCUCAACUCCAGAACUGCCUUCGAUACUGGAAGACUUGAGUCCGGGAGAGGUGAGUGGAACUGCGAGUGUAGAGGUGAAAUUCGUAGAUAUUCGCAAGAACACCAGUGGCGAAGGCGGCUCACUGGCCCGGUACUGACGCUGAGGUGCGAAAGCGUGGGGAGCAAACAGG
rnacentral:rRNA from 1 species